CCUUAACCUGCUAAAUAGCUACACAAACACUUUGUUUGUGGCUAGCUUCUUAGAGGGACUGACUACGUUUAGUGGUCGGAAGUUUGAGGCAAUAACAGGUCUGUGAUGCCCUUAGAUGUUCUGGGCCGCACGCGCGCUACACUGAUAAAGGCAGCGAGUAUAUAACCUUGACCGGAAGGUCUGGGAAAUCUUGUGAAACUUUAUCGUGCUGGGGAUAGACCAUUGCAAUUAUUGGUCUUCAACGAGGAAUUCCUAGUAAGCGCAAGUCAUCAGCUUGCGUUGAUUACGUCCCUGCCCUUUGUACACACCGCCCGUCGGUACUACCGAUUGAAUGGCUUAGUGAGAUCUUCGGAUCGACUGUCAUUCCGCAAGGAAACGACUGUUGAAAAGUUGCUCAAACUUGGUCAUUUAGAGGAAGUAAAAGUCG
rnacentral:rRNA from 1 species